rnacentral:rRNA from 1 species
UACGGGGGGGUGCUAACGUUGUCCGGAAUUACUGGGCGUAAAGAGCUCGUAGGCGGUUUGUCGCGUCUGCCGUGAAAGUCCGGGGCUCAACUCCGGAUCUGCGGUGGGUACGGGCAGACUAGAGUGAUGUAGGGGGAGACUGGAAUUCCUGGUGUAGCGGUGAAAUGCGCAGAUAUCAGGAGGAACACCGAUGGCGAAGGCAGGUCUCUGGGCAUUAACUGACGCUGAGGAGCGAAAGCAUGGGGAGCGAACAGG